rnacentral:rRNA from 1 species
GCGACCUCAACUCAUGCGAGAACACCUGCUGAGUUUAAGCAUAUAAUUAAGUGAAGGAAAAUAAAAUUACAAGGAUUCCCCUAGUAGCGGUGAGCGAAUCGGGAAGAGCCCAGCAUGAAAAUCGGGUGGCAGCAUCUCUUGAAUUGUAGUCUAUAGAAGCAUCCUCAGCGACGGACCUGGUCCAAGUCCUAUGGAUGGGGGCGCUUGAGAGGGCGAUAGCCCGUUGGGCCGUGACCCUGCUGCAUCACAAGUCAUUGUCGGAGAGUCAGGUUGUUUGGGAAUGAAACCCUAAUUGGGUGGUGAAUUCCGUCCAAGGCUAAAUACGAGCGAGAGACCGAUAGCGAACAAGUACUGCGAGGGAAAGAUGAAAAGGACUUUGAAAAGAGAGUUAAAGAGUGCUUGAAAUUAUCGGAAGGGAAGCGGAUGGAGGCUGUUGAUGCGUCUCAGUUAGAUGUAGAAUGGCUCAGGCUAGUUCGCCGCUCGACUUGAGUUGCAAACCAACACGGGCUACUGCAUCGUCACAAGCACGGGUGGAGUACUACCUGUCGAUUUUCCGUUGCAGUGGUUGAGAAACGAACCAAGGAGUCUAACAUGUGUGCGAGUCGGCGAGUUUGAAAACCUACGAGGCACAAGGAAGCUGACAGCGAGAUCCCCUCUCUGGGGGGUGCAUCAUCGACUGAUCUUGAGCUUAUGCGAAGGGUUCGAGUGCGAGCACACUUGUUGGGACCCAAAAGAUGGUGAACUAUGCCUAGGCAGGGCAAAGCUAGAGGAAACUCUGGUGGAGGCUCGUAGUGAUACUGACGUGCAAAUAAUUCGUUUGACUUGGGUAUAGUGGCGAAAGACUAAUCGUACCAUCUAGUAGCUGGUUUCCUCCAAAGUUUCCCUCAGGAUAGCUAGAGCUCAGUGCGAGUUUUAUCGGGUAAAGAAAAUGAUUAGAGGCAUCGGGCGCGUAACGCCCUUGACCUAUUCUCAAACAUUAAAUAGGUAAGAGGGUGCGACUGCUCCAUUGAGCCGUGCCAUGGAAUCGAGAGUUCACAGUGGGCCAUUUUUGGUAAGCAAAAUUGGAGAUGCAGGAUGAACCGAAAGUCGAGUUAUGGUGCCGAAUUACGCGCUAACCUAGAUCCCACAAAGGGUGUUGGUUGAUUAAGACAACAAGAUGUUGGUUAUGGAAGUCGAAAUCCACUAAGGAGUGUGUAACAACUCAUCUGCCGAAUCAACUAGCCCUGAAAAUGGAUGUUGCUGAAGCGCACAACCUAUACUUGACUGUUAGAGCAAUUGCCUGGAUUCGAUGAGUAGGAGGAUGCAGUGGUCAUUGAGAAACCUCAGGCAUGAGCUUGGGUGGAUCGACCCUCGGUGUAGAUCUUGGUGGUAGUAGCAAAUAUUCAAAUGAGAACUUUGAAGAUUGAAGUGGGGAAAGCUUCCAUGUGAACAACACUUGGACAUGGGUUAGUCGAUCCUAAGAGAUGGGGAAGCCUUGUAUCAAGGGUGCACUCUGCACGAGCAUCGAAAGGGAAUUGGGUUAAUAUUCCCUAACUGGGACAUGGCGGCGGGCGACAACGUUAGGAAAUCCGGAGACGUCGUCGGGGGCCCCAGGAAGAGUUAUCUUUUCUUUUUAACAACUUUCCCACCUUGGAAUCGGUUCACCUAGAGAUAGGGUCUAGCAGCUGGAAGAGCACCGCACGUCUUGCGGUGUUCGGUGCGCCCUCGUGGCGCUUGAAAAUCUAGAGGAUCAAGUACCGUUCAUGCCUGGUCAUACUCAUAACCGCAUUAGCUCUCCAAGGUGAACAACCUCUAGUCAAUAAAAUAAUGUAGGUAAGGGAAGUUGGCAAAAUAGAUCCGUAACUUCGGGAAAAGGAUUGGUGAGGGCUGGGCCUAUGGGUCUACACCCUUAAUUCUUGGGCUGUCAGCAGUCUGCCUGAGCUGCUCUCGCGGCAAGGGGGGGGCAGUUGCCUGUCGAUUGGGCUACGGACGUAGAAUGCUCCCUACUGGGGGCUUUUCCCUAGGCGGCGAACAAUCGACUUAGAACUGGUAUGGACAAGCGGAAUCUGAUUGUUUAAUUAAAACAAAGCAUUGCGAUGGUCCCUGCGGAUGCUGACGUAAUGUGAUUUCUGCCCAGUGCUCUGAAUGUCAAAAUGAAAAAAUUCAACCAAGUGCGGGUAAACGACGGGAGUAACUAUGACUCUCUUAAGGUAGCCAAAUGCCUCGUCAUCUAAAUAGUGACGCACAUGAAUGGAUUAAUGAGAUUCCCACUGUCCCUAUCUACCAUCUAGUGAAACUAUAUCUACUAUCUAACGAAACUACAGCCAAGGGAAUGGGCUUAGGAGAAUCAACGGGGAAAGAAGACCUUGUUGAGCUUGACUCUAGUUUGACUUUGUGAAAUGACUUGAGAGAUGUAGAAUAAGUGGGAGCCAUUUUCAGCGCAAGUGAAAUACCACUACUUUUAACAUUAUUUUACUUAUUCCGUGGGGCGAAGACGAGGCACUGCCCCUGCUUUUGGCCUUAAGGUACGUUUCGGCGGGUUGAUCUGGGUGGAAGACAUUGUUAGGUGGAGAGUUUGGCUGGGGUGGAACAUCUGUUAAAAGAUAACGCAGGUGUCUUAAGAUGAGCUCAACGAGAACAAAAAUCUUGUGUGGAACAAAAGGGUAAAAGCUCAUUUGAUUUUGAUUUUUAGUACAAAUACAAACCAUGAAAGCAUGGCUUAUCGAUCCUUUAGAUUUUCAGAAUUUGAAGCUAGAGGUGUCAGAAAAGUUACCAUAGGGAUAACUGGCUUGUGGCAGCCAAGCAUUCAUAGCGACGUUGCUUUUUGAUCCUUUGAUGUCGGCUCUUUCUAUCAUUGUGAAGCAAAAUUCACCAAGUGUUGGAUUGUUCACCCACCAAUAGGGAACGUGAGCUGGGUUUAUACCGUCGUGAGAUAGGUUAGUUUUACCCUACUGAUGAACCGCAUCGCAAUAGUAAUUCAACUUAGUACGAGAGGAACAGUUGAUUCACACAAUUGGUCAUCGUGCUUGGUUGAAAAGCCAGUGGCGCGAAGCUACCGUGUGUCGGAUUAUGACCGAACACCUCUAAGUCAAAAUCCACGCUAGAAGUGCUGCAUGUCACUCUUCCACUAUAUCUCAACCCAUAGUAGGGGCAUUGCUUUGUCGCCCCAAGAACCCGUGUCAUUUGCAAACCGCGAUCGUGAAGCAUCUCAGUUGGGGAAGCUUUGAAGUUCAAUUCCAAAUUGUCAUUGAGAAG